GCACGGGGCGGGCGGGCACGGCGGCCGGGCCGGUACCCGCGGCCCCGGGUCCUCCCGCCCGCCGGGCCCGGCGGUCCCGCCGCCGGCCGUACC
rnacentral:tRNA from 1 species